ensembl:snRNA U6 U6 spliceosomal RNA
GUGCUUGCUUUGACAGUACAUAUACUAAAAUUGCAAUAUUAAAGGAAAAAAUAGUAUUGUCCCUGCACAAGGAUAACAUGCAAAUUCAUGAAGCAUUCCAUAUUUUU